rnacentral:rRNA from 1 species
UUGACCUCAAAUCAGGUAGGACUACCCGCUGAACUUAAGCAUAUCAAUAAGCGGAGGAAAAGAAACUAACAAGGAUUCCCCUAGUAACUGCGAGUGAAGCGGGAAAAGCUCAAAUUUGAAAUCUGGCAGUCUCUUUUUUCUUAUUUGGCUGUCCGAGUUGUAAUCUAGAGAA